rnacentral:rRNA from 1 species
UACGAAGGUCCCAAGCGUUGUUCGGAAUCACUGGGCGUAAAGGGAGCGUAGGCGGCGUGGUAAGUCAGAUGUGAAAUCCCGGGGCUCAACCCCGGAACUGCAUCCGAUACUGCCAUGCUUGAGGGUUGGAGAGGUAGCUGGAAUUAUCGGUGUAGCAGUGAAAUGCGUGGAUAUCGAUAGGAACACUCGUGGCGAAGGCGAGCUACUGGACAACAUCUGACGCUGAGGCUCGAAGGCUAGGGGAGCAAAA